AGCUGAGUGGCGCAGCGGAAGCGCGCCGGGCUCAUAACCCGGAGGGCAAUGGAUCGAAACCAUUCUCAGCUA